GGUUGUGGCUCAGUGGUAGAGUACUUGCCUAGCAUGUGUGAGGCACUGGGUUCAAUCCUCAGCACCA
rnacentral:tRNA from 1 species